rnacentral:rRNA from 1 species
GGGUGCGUAACGCGUAUGCAACCUACCUUCUACAGGGGGAUAGUCAAUAGAAAUGUUGAAUAAUACCCCAUACGAUCUUUGAGUGGCAUUACUUAAAGAGGAAAGCUUCGGCGGUAGAAGAUGGGCAUGCGUCCUAUUAGUUAGUUGGUAAGGUAACGGCUUACCAAGACAGCGAUAGGUAGGGGUCCUGAGAGGGAGAUCCCCCACACUGGUACUGAGACACGGACCAGACUCCUACGGGAGGCAGCAGUGAGGAAUAUUGGACAAUGGAGGAGACUCUGAUCCAGCCAUGCCGCGUGUAGGAAGAAUGCCCUAUGGGUUGUAAACUACUUUUAUACAGGAAGAAACACUGGUAUGUAUACCAGCUUGACGGUACUGU